CGUACAGACGUAGUUGUACUCUCGGACUCAGGACACGCUGGCGGCGUGCCUAAUACAUGCAAGUCGAACGGAGAUAUUCGCUGAUGAAGUACUUCGGUAAUGAAUCUUGGAUAUCUUAGUGGCGGACGGGUGAGUAACGCGUGAGCAACCUACCUUUCAGAGGGGGAUAACGUUUGGAAACGAACGCUAAUACCGCAUGACAUUAUCUUAUCGCAUGGUAGGAUAAUCAAAGGAGCAAUCCGCUGAAAGAUGGGCUCGCGUCCGAUUAGGUAGUUGGUGGGGUAACGGCCCACCAAGCCGACGAUCGGUAGCCGGACUGAGAGGUUGGACGGCCACAUUGGGACUGAGACACGGCCCAGACUCCUACGGGAGGCAGCAGUAAGGGUAUAUUGGUCAAUGGGGGAAACCCUGAACCAGCAACGCCGCGUGAGGGAAGACGGUUUUCGGAUUGUAAACCUCUGUCCUCUGUGAAGAUGAUGACGGUAGCAGAGGAGGAAGCUCCGGCUAACUACGUG
rnacentral:rRNA from 1 species